GCUUACGGCCACACACCGAAUGCGCCCGAUCUCGUCUGAUCUCGGAAGCUAAGCAGGGUCAGGCCUGGUUAGUACUUGGAUGGGAGACCGCCUGGGAAUACCAGGUGCUGUAAGCU
rnacentral:rRNA from 1 species